CUCCUAACAACCCUCUUCUGCUUCUUGGUUUGCACCGGCACGCAAGGUUACCUCCGGAGGCCAAAGUCAACACGGUUCCUGUCUCUGCAGCGCCUAAACUUACAAACGGAUGGCAGAAACGGGGAGGAAGCCAACGUGAACCGCAUCUGGAAGAAGAAAAACCAUCAAGCCCAUCAACUGUUUUAGUAUGCAAUACUAAUUGCAGAUAACAGAAGUUGAAUAUAUCCUGCCGAAUGGAUGAAAUGAAAUAUAAACUACUAACUUAACACUAUAAAGUAAUAAAUAAGGACAGAAAUGGCUUGACAUUACCUUCUGGAAUAUUUCAUCUUCCCAGUCCUCAGAUUUUUUUGAAGGUAUCCUAUCCAAGUAUUAAAUAAAUGCAACUUAUCUUUCUGAGAUCAACUAAGAUCAG